rnacentral:rRNA from 1 species
ACCGGCGCUAAUGCCGCAUGUGGUCAGUGAUGAAGAAAGCAGCAAUGCGCUUGAUGAGGGGCCUAUGUCCGAUUAGCUGGUUGGUGGGGUAAAGGCCCACCAAGGCGACGAUCGGUAGCUGGUCUGAGAGGAUGGUCAGCCACACUGGGACUGAGACACGGCCCAGACUCCUACGGGAGGCAGCAGUUAGGAAAUUUUCCCAAUGGGCGAAAGCCUGAGGGAGUAACGCCGCGUGGAGGAUGACGGCCUUCGGGUUGUAAACUCCUUUUCUGCGGGAAGAGCAAAAGACGGUACCGCAGGAAUAAGCCUCGGCUAACUACGUGCCAGCAGCCGCGGUAAUACGUAGGAGGCGAGCGUUGUCCGGAAUUACUGGGCGUANAGAGCGCGUAGGCGGCGCUGUUGCGACCUCGGUGAAAGCCCCCGGCUCAACUGGGGACGGGUCCGAGGUUACGGCAG